rnacentral:lncRNA from 1 species
GCACUUUAAGUUAAUUGGUGUGUCUACAUUGUCCCAGUCGUAGCGAGUGCACGGAGUGUGUGACUGUGCCCUCCGAUGGAUGGCAUCCUCUCUGGGGUUGGUUUUUGCCUUGUGUUCUCAGCUGCUGGGACACCCAUGCCCCUGAACUGGAUGGAAUUAGCAGGGUCCAGAAUCUCAUAGAUUAUGUUAAGAAGAUUGCUUCCACACCAAUUCUCCUACUCCAGUCCUUUUUAAAACGGACUCUGUAGCAAGAGGCAAUUCACGAAGAAAAAUAGCAAGCCAUGGCAUCUCCCACAAGCCAGGGCUGACUGCAAAUUUGAAUGAUCUUUUUCAUAAAUUCCACCAAUAUCUGACCACAAACUGAGUGAUGAAAGCCUACAGUCAGUCAACCACAAAUAAUUUCCUACUACCCACUAGGAAUGAGCUGCUAUGUCAAAUACUCCUGGGAAAACAAGUUCAUUUGUGGAAUAGCCCCUUCUCUGUGGCAUUGAUAUGGCAUGCCAAUUUUGUCAUAUAAUGAGGUUCCACACAAGCAUGGUUCUGUUUCUCAGCAUUCUGACUGUUUCUGCACCUAUGCCACACUGAAUAACCAAAGCUCAAGAGUUAAGUCAUCUGGUUUAACAGGAUAUAGUCAUGUGUGUUAAAUGAUUGAGGGGAAAAAAACAGAAAAACUGGAUCAUUGAAGAAAUUAUUCACUCAGACUUCACUCAAGACUGAGCAGAGAUAAUACACAGAAGGAAAAGUGAAAAACAUCAAAGCCUCUUCUAACUCAAAAACAAUUAUGGAGAGCACAAUUUGCUUUUCUAGUUGAAGUAAAGCACCCUCCUUGGGAGAUCUUCACUCUUCACAUCUUCAUUUGAUUACAGCCUGCUUCAUCUUUCACCAUGAGUAAAAGCUGCUUGAAGCCUCCCCAGGAGCUGAACAGCUGCGGAUGCCAUGCUUCCUGUACAGCCUGCAGAACCAUGAGCCAAGUAAGCCUGCCUUAUUUAUCAAUUACCCAGCCUCAGCUAUUUCUUUAUAGAGAUUCAAAAAUGAACAGGAGGAAUGUUAUAAGAAGGAUGACUAUAACUGCUUGACUCCUCUAGAAUACUGUACUCACUUAAAUUCUGAGUCCCUUCCCUCUCAGAAAUUUAAGGUCAUAAGCCCUGACAUAGUUUGUGGCAUAAGCCAGUAGAGGGUGAACCUAGAAGAGAGCAAAUCAGGAGUUGCAUGGCAGCUGAGCAAAUAAAUUCAAGGAGGAGGAAAUGAAAAGCAACAUCUGGUGAGGGAAAAGCACCAUGCCAUUGUUUCAGAAGUCCUAAGUAGAGAGUCAAUUAUGGAUUAAAAAUAAUAACAGUGAAAACAACUAGCCCCA